GUCUGCGUUCGGUGUCCAGGCAGGUGCGGGUGCCGCGGGGCCGGAUCCUCCGCGCAGCCGAGUCCAUCUCCUGGGAAAUGGGGUGGACUGUGUUUCCUUGACCGACUAUUGUGAACUCCCUGUCUCUCCGGCGGAGCGGAGACCAUGGCCCCCACUCAGGGCCCGCGGGCCCCGCUGGAAUUCGGAGGGCCCCUGGGCGCCGCGGCUCUGCUGCUGCUGCUGCCCGCCACCAUGUUCCACCUGCUCCUGGCGGCCCGUUCGGGCCCCGCGCGCCUGCUGGGUCCACCCGCGUACCUGCCUGGACUGGAGGCGCUGUGGAGCCCACGGGCGCUGCUGCUGUGGCUCGCCUGGCUCGGCCUGCAGGCGGCGCUCUACCUACUGCCGGCGCGCAAGGUGGCCGAGGGGCAGGAAUUGAAGGACGAGAGUCGCCUGCGCUAUCCUAUUAACGGUGCCUAGGGGACGGGCCCUCGCGCUGGAGUUUAGCGGCCGGGGGUGGAGCUCCAGGCCUUGCGGGGAGGUCCACGGAGAUUGGCCUCCACCCCAGGCUCCUUUGUGUGCCUCUGUUACGCCCAGGACAGACGCCGGGGGCUCUCCCUAAGCCCCUCGUCCCCACACCCUUACCCCAUUUACUGCUACUCUGUGCACCACAGCAGUGGCUGGGGUGAUCCUCUGAAGGCCAGGGUGGCAGCCUAAUGCUUGGGGCAGGGUCUGUGGCCCCCCUGAGUUUUGGGCUCUGUGUGUGUUUGCGGGGUGGGGAUGUGGAGGCGCGCAGCCCCAGGGCUCACUGUGCGCUGUGGUUCAGGCUUCCAGGCCCUGGUGCUGACAGCCCUGUUGGUGGGGCUGGGGAUGUCAGCGGGGCUGCCUCUGGGGGCGCUCCCGGAAAUGCUCCUGCCCUUGGCGUUUGUCGCCACCCUCACCGCUUUCAUCUUCAGCCUCUUUCUCUACAUGAAGGCGCAGGUAGCCCCAGUUUCGGCCCUGGCACCUGGGGGCAACUCAGGUGAGAGGGGUCCCGGGGUGGAGAUGGAGGCAGAUCGGGGAGUCUGCCUGUACAUUCACUCUCCAAUAUUCUCCAGGCAAUCCGAUUUACGACUUUUUUCUGGGACGGGAGCUCAACCCUCGUAUCUGUUUCUUCGACUUCAAAUAUUUCUGUGAACUGCGACCUGGCCUCAUCGGCUGGGUCCUCAUCAACAUGGCCCUGUUGAUGAAGGAGGCAGAGCUUCGGGGCAGUCCCUCACUGGCCAUGUGGCUGGUCAAUGGCUUCCAGUUACUCUACGUGGGUGAUGCCCUCUGGCAUGAGGUGAGGCUGGACUGGACGAGAGUGGGUGUCUGAGGGCUGCAUGGGGACUAAGCCAGUGCGUCUGGGUCUUGUCCCUGCAGGAGGCCAUCCUCACCACCAUGGAUAUCACACAUGACGGGUUUGGCUUCAUGCUGGCGUUUGGGGACAUAGCCUGGGUGCCCUUCACCUACAGCCUGCAGGCCCAGUUCCUGCUGCACCACCCGCAGUCCCUGGGAUUGCCCAUGGCCUCCGUCAUCUGCCUCAUCAAUGCUAUUGGUUACUACAUCUUCCGUGGGGCGAAUUCCCAGAAAAACACUUUCCGAAAGAAUCCUUCUGACCCCAGAGUG
rnacentral:sRNA from 1 species